GAUUAACGCUGGCGGCGUGCAUAAAACAUGCAAGUCGAGCGCGGUGCGACUUCGGUCGCAUCUAGCGGCGCACGGGUGAGUAACACGUGAGCAACCUACCUUGGAGUCCGGGAUAGCCCUGAGAAAUCAGGAUUAAUACCGGAUGAUGUCAUCACCAGGCAUCUGGAGAUGAGAAAAGGCGCAAGCCGUUCCAAGACGGGCUCGCGGCCUAUUAGCUAGUUGGUGGGUAACGGCCUACCAAGGCGGAGAUGGGUAGCUGGUCUGAGAGGACGAUC
rnacentral:rRNA from 1 species